rnacentral:lncRNA from 1 species
AGGAAUUCUAAGUUUCAUAUCCUGCCUUUGUGCUCGGUAGCGGGAGACGGAACUUUAUGGAAACCGUCACGAGAUUUGGGUCACUGGCAUGUUGUACCACUUGGGACUCGGACCCAAGCAUCAGUGACCUUACGUAAACGAGCGGUUCCAUAAGGGAGUUUGGGACAGUCCAUGGCAUCAUGGCAUUGAUGAGCACUCUACUGAUUAUCCUCCUUUGUAGAUUCAUAUCUGAA